rnacentral:misc_RNA from 1 species
UCUCUCUCUCUCUCUCACAACAAAAAAAGGAAGUAUGUCAUCAAAUAGAAUAGGUGGCAUUAAUAAGCAAGACGUUGUCACAUUGGGGUAGAAUACACAAAAAGCACCAAGUCAAGGUGAACUACCACAAGAAAUACUGAUGCAUACAAAUGGAGGACACAAAAUAUCAAAUUAAUGUCGUAGAACUGUAAGAAAACCUACUUCUUUAUCAUGCUGAAUAAAGCUAUUCUACUCCACACCCAGUAGAUACAGAGGUUAACAGGUCUAGUUCAGCGACAUGAGAAUAUAUUCAACAGGCAUGCAGUCCAUUGGUGCAACCCCACUGUUAUCACCUACUUUUGCACCAUAUACCCUUAUAAAGGAUCUAUUUAACUAAGAUCGACACCAGCUUAUUUAUAAUCUCAAAGACCAACAGCUUAUUUUUAAUAUUGAAUUAAUGCUGCCAAAAUAAGUCUCCUAUAUAAGUUUUAGUGAUUUUUUUAAAUGCAAUCAGUUCUUAAAUUCAUAAAUUCACACACAGAGCAUCCAAUUAUUGUGUGUUGUCCAACAUGGGCAAUUCAGAAAGCUGAAUUUUUAUGUAGCAAUGCGAUAUACGUGAAGAUAGAUUUAGACACACUUUACAGUAUCAAAACAUACUUGUCUGAAAUACAGAGGGCAGACAUUUAAUUAACUUAGUCAAAUAUGGAUUAUAGUUAAAAGUUAAAACAAAGUGAAACAGAAUAAGGAAGCAGACGUCAACUAACAUAUUAAACAAUAAAAAUCAAGCUGAAUCUAAUAUGGAAGAGACGAAGGGUGCCCAUGACAGACAAAUCACAAAAUCUAUGAUCAACUUCAGGAUAUUAUAACAACAUCAACAACAACAACAAAACAAAAUAAAUCCAGGGAACAAAAAUCCAGAAAAUCGUUUCCUCAAAAAAAAAGGGGAAAUCCCUUUACAAAACAAUCCAUAUACAGAUCCAACCACAUAUCUAGACCAGCUGGAUCAGAUAAGCACGUCGUCAAUUUUUCAAAAAACGAAUAAAAGCUAUCCAUUUUAAAAUUAUAAUAAGGGGAAAAACAGCAAUUGGACAAACCUCCUGGAAUUCAUGGUCUAAAGAUCACCAAUAUCUUUUUGCUUAAAUGCUUCUGUUCCGAUGAAGAAAAAUUGAAACACUUUUUUGGCACAGACACUAGGAAACGACAAUGAGAGUGAAUAAUCUCAAAGCUACCUUCAAAGAGGAGCCCGAAAUUUUCCGCUGUAGAGUAAACAGUGGGAACGACGAAAAGAGGACGGUCAAGUAGUUUGCCGGUAAUAUGAAAAAGAGAGGGAGAAAGGGGAACGAUCAACAAAAUUGGGUGAAAUUGCAGGAUGGGUCCCGCAUAAUUGCUAAGGUGGGUAGCAUGUUCAUGUGUGUUGGGGAGAUAAUCGCUAAGCUUUCUGUGGGAACCUUAGCGGUGAUCCAAU